rnacentral:lncRNA from 1 species
GUUUGGAUCAUUGCCCCCCCCCCCAACCCCCCAAUUCUUGCCUCUCAAGGCCGUGGGGUAGACCUUGGGGACCGUUCUCAUCAACAGUGGAUUCCCUCUUUAUUAUUUCUGAUGGGAUCUUGGGUCUGCAGAUUCCACUCAGACACACCCUUACCAGGAUCCCCCAACUAAAAGCAAGGCAGUGGGCGGGGCUGGGGGUGGUGUUGGAUUGAAACUCUCUUUACCGUAGCUCCUUCGGCGCUCUUUGCUCCGUGGUCUCUUGGGAUUCUAGACCCUUCCUGUGGAAGAAAAACAAAUCACCCCCAAGCAAACAAACAAAGAGAUGUAUGAAGACGGAAGGUAUGGCAUUGCCUGCCAAAGGAAGCUCCGAGGUGGGUCCUUUCCCCAUGCCUGACCUGUUGCCUUGUUGCCUCUGGGAAGGAGAGAUGGAGGUGGGCUUGGUGUGCAAAGGCUAAUAAGAUGGUUCAGCAGGGGAAGGUGCUUGCUGCCAAGCCCGAAGACCCGAGUUCAAUCCCUGGAACUCACAUUAUAGAAGAAGAGGUCUGACUCUCAUGAGUUAUCCUCUGAUUCCCAUAUGUGCACUGUAUACAUGCAUGUAUGUCCAAACACACAGAAACACAAAACAAAUGAGAGUGCUUUUUUUUUUAAAGUGUGAUGGCAUUUGGGAAUCAUACAUCCUCAAUGACAUAAAAAGCUCC